AACGAACGCUAGCGGCAUGCCUAACACAUGCAAGUCGAACGAGAUCUUCGGGUCUAGUGGCGCACGGGUGCGUAACGCGUGGGAAUCUGCCCUUUGGUUCGGAAUAACAGUUGGAAACGACUGCUAAUACCGGAUGAUGACGAAAGUCCAAAGAUUUAUCGCCAGAGGAUGAGCCCGCGUAGGAUUAGCUAGUUGGUGUGGUAAAGGCGCACCAAGGCGACGAUCCUUAGCUGGUCUGAGAGGAUGAUCAGCCACACUGGGACUGAGACACGGCCCAGACUCCUACGGGAGGCAGCAGUGGGGAAUAUUGGACAAUGGGCGAAAGCCUGAUCCAGCAAUGCCGCGUGAGUGAUGAAGGCCUUAGGGUUGUAAGCUCUUUUACCCGGGAUGAUAAUGACAGUACCGGGAGAAUAAGCUCCGGCUAACUCCGUGCCAGCCGCCGCAGUAA
rnacentral:rRNA from 1 species